CGGACUGAAACAGAACGCACGCGGCUCCGCAGGUCACGCUCGAAACAAACUUUUCUAGAAUCAUUCAAUCAUACAAAGACGAGAUUUAACCCUUCUUUAUAGUGUAGCUCGGACGAGAAAGUCAGACAAGAUGUCAAGUAUACAUAGUACUAUAAUAUAUCGCACAUUUUCACUGGCGGAUAAGGGGAAGUUUAUAAUACAAGAAGUAUAAAAGAUAAUUGAUAAUAAUAUGACACUUUAUGGAUAUUUGAAUACUUGAAAACUCGAAACGUGACUACAGAUCUGGAAUGCGCGAAUAAAAUAAAAUUAUUAUACCUCUAUAUUUCACCUUCAAUAGGGACAUUUCAUUCCUGGCAGAGAAACGUUACAAUCUUCAAGCGUACUCCUAUGAAAUUUAAUUCCGCGUAAUUUAAUUACUCGAAAGAAGAUUAGCUUUUUCCCAUGUGACAAUGUACCGAAUUUGCGUUUUAAUUCAGAAAAACAGAGAGAAGGAGGAAGGAACUGGACGGAGAUACAAAUCUUUAAUUAUCGUCAAUGACGAUAUGUAGAUUAAACAUCGUACGGGAAAGGCAUACGCGAAAUAAUUCCUCCUCCUGGCUGAGUUUAAAGUUUAUUUGCGUAUCCGUGACACGAGCACGUUGCCGGUGCCAACGCGACGUACACUGAAAUAAGAGACACCACUUAAGCGACAGAUUUAUGCGAACAGAUAUAUACGCGUUUCUCGCAAAAGAACCAAUUUUUUUUACGUUCUUUCUUUGCACGACGCGGUGCUUCUUCGUGAAUUACGAUCCCAACAGCCUUGUUUUGUUUUAUAAUUUUACGUCGUGUACAGCAGUUUAGUUUAGUUGACUGCGAUGUAUGCAAUGGAAUUUCACGUGCUGCAACGAAAUUUUAAUUAACGUUUGAUUAAAUAAACCGUUUGUCAGUCGAAUCAUGUAACGGGAACAUAACAUUGCAGUUUAAUAAGUUAUGAAAUAAAGGAUAAAUAUAUUUGUUUUCGAUAAAACUGGUGUCUAAUUUUAGUGCGUUGUGUCUUUUUUAUAAAACUAUUGGUGGAAACAUGUUUUUCUUAUUUGCGAUAAAUGAAAAUCUAUUCUCAUGAGCUACGAAGGAAGAAAUUCUGAAAGAGUUAAUAUAAAAAUUAUAAUCCAAAACGCGGUUCCUCACGAGCUAUCUAGUUAGUACGUGAUAAUACAUGCAUACAUUUUGAAUAUAUCGCAAAACCAUUUAUAAAAAAAUUCAAUAUUAAAAUAUUCGAUAUAUAUUCUGUAUUAAUAAUAAAAUAUGUAAGAUC